rnacentral:rRNA from 1 species
UGCGUAGGCGGAAUGAUAAGUUAGUGGUGAAAGCCCCCGGCUCAACCGGGGAACUGCCAUUAAUACUGUCAUUCUUGAGUAUAGUUGAAGUGGGCGGAAUGUAUCAUGUAGCGGUGAAAUGCUUAGAUAUGAUACAGAACACCGAUAGCGUAGGCAGCUUGCUAAACUAUCACUGACGCUCAGGCACGAAAGCGUGGGGAGCAAACAGGAUUAGAUACCCUGGUAGUCC